rnacentral:rRNA from 1 species
GAUGAACGCUGGCGGCGUGCCUAAUACAUGCAAGUCGAGCGAACGGACGAGAAGCUUGCUUCUCUGAUGUUAGCGGCGGACGGGUGAGUAACACGUGGAUAACCUACCUAUAAGACUGGGAUAACUUCGGGAAACCGUAGCUAAUACCGGAUAAUAUUUUGAACCGCAUGGUUCAAAAGUGAAAGACGGUCUUGCUGUCACUUAUAGAUGGAUCCGCGCUGCAUUAGCUAGUUGGUAAGGUAACGGCUUACCAAGGCAACGAUGCAUAGCCGACCUGAGAGGGUGAUCGGCCACACGGGAACUGAGACACGGUCCAGACUCCUACGGGAGGCAGCAGUAGGGAAUCUUCCGCAAUGGGCGAAAGCCUGACGGAGCAACGACGCGUGAGUGAUGAAGGUCUUCGGAUCGUAAAACUCUGUUAUUAGGGAAGAACAUAUGUGUAAGUAACUGUGCACAUCUUGACGGUACCUAAUCAGAAAGCCACGGCUAACUACGUG